ACUCACUCCGCCGCCGUCCCUGCUUCCACCACAUCCUCCGAUUUAUGAUUGGAUGGGAUCAUCGAGCUGAUUCGAUUGCAAGAAUGCAAGUAAGAACAAGAGACUGAUUGAGAAUUGUAAAAACCGGAAAUUUGGGUGAUGCUUUGAAAGUGUUUGACGAAAUGUCUAAGAGAGAAGAACAACUUGAGGUAUGGAACAACUGAAUUAGUCAAGGCUGGAUAAUGACUAAGGUAACAUCUUUAUAGUCUCUGGCUAGCUUUUGUUCUCUCUGUUUCUCGUACUUUGCAUCAAAAAUCAAACCGCAUUAGUAUCAUCUUCUCUUAACUUCACCAACUAGCUAAGUCUGAGUUCCAGGCCUUUCUCUGUGUCUGCAUUACCAAGCUUGCAUAGAGAUUGAAUCUUUAAGUAGCUUAAACAAACAUAACAAAUGGUUUUUGAAGUGAGCAGCAUAAGCACACACAUCGGUCUUGGUGGUUUGAGUAAACAUCACUGAGAUUUGUUGUUUUACGAUGCAAUAGCAAAUGUAAAAGUAGCUUGACGUAUCAAGCCCAAGUGUUAAGUUUCAAACUUGGGUCUAUUAAUCAAGUUAUAUGAUCUUUGUUGCUACCUUUUUCCCUUUAUUUGCUUUUUUCAUUCUCUAUUCAAAAUCAGCCAACCUUUGCUUGUAUUUCCAUUCUCCACUGUCUCUCUAAUCUGAUCAAUCCUGCAGGUUCUUUGAAAGCUUGCAUUCGAGUCUCAGAGCGUUUGAUCACGGAUUCAUCACUACUAUUCUAGUUGCAAUCAAAGAAAUGGUUUCACUAGCGGAAUCUCAGCACAACGCUUGUGUUAAAUACAAACCCUUGAACUCUGCAACCACAAAGCAAUAAGGAUAGUCGAAUUCAAAAGUAGUAUCUUGUAACCUAAACUCAAGCAAAGAACUUCAAACUUGCUUGUUUAUGAAAAAUAAAAAUAAUAUCUGUAAAUAUGUUUCAGUAACGAGAUUAUCAAACAUUGCGACUAAUUUCAAA